ensembl:ncRNA lncRNA:CR45471 long non-coding RNA:CR45471
AUUCGGUGCGAAUCGUGGCGACCCUUUCGCAUCGAUCCGUCCAGGGCGCGUUUAGCUUUCUCGGCAUUGGGAUGAUAGUCGACCUUUAGGAAUUUAAAGUUCUUAUCCAGGUUCGAGAAGAUCUCGCUAAUCGUAUGGCUCGUAUGGCUUGAACGUCUCGCGUAGCUCAGCGUCGGUGAUGUCAUUGGUCAGGUUGCCCACAUAGAGACGAUUUCGAUGGGAGAACUUCGUCUCCGUGGGCACUUCCACUGUUUCCAGUUCAAAGCCGCGCGGACCACCAUCUCCAUCGCUACCACCACCCAUAUUGGUGCUGUUCAUCGUGCCACCUGCACCUCCGCCAGGGCGUGGACCACGCUACUACCGACUACGGUUUCGGUUGUCUGCUGGUUCUGCGGGCUUCCGGAGAAACCGCCACCUUGAUUGUUACCAGCAUUGCGACCUCUGAAUCCUUGACCACUUCCCUGAAUUCCGGCUCCUCCUUGAUUUCCUUGGCCUCCUUUAUUGCCUGCUCCUCCUUGAUUUCCUAAUCCUCCUUGAUUUCCUUGACCAUGGACUUGAUUUUGAUUUUGGUUUUGUCCUUGCCGUUGAUUUGGGCCCUUGUUGGCGUUCUGAUUCGCUUGAUUUUGGCCAGCAGCUGCAGUGGCCGGUUCAUUGUUCUUAGCAAGUGCAUUGGACCCGUCCGCCUUUGAUGUUUCGUUAUGGCGCUUUUGCUAUAUUUGUGUUAUACAUUUAAAUAAAUACAAUAUGCAAUUGAUAUGUGAGCCACAUCUGCAGUGCCGUCAUUUCAAUCCAGUUACACCAUUUUAAUACAAACUGAACUGAUAUAACAUCGAUUGAAUCGGCUCUGCAGGCGUGCCCCCCUAU